rnacentral:sRNA from 1 species
UGAAUGCCUCCCUUUGCCAGUGCAAAGGC